rnacentral:rRNA from 1 species
AUUGAACGCUGGCGGCAGGCCUAACACAUGCAAGUCGGACGGUAGCACAGGGGAGCUUGCUCCUCGGGUGACGAGUGGCGGACGGGUGAGUAAUGUAUGAGGAUCUGCCCGAUAGAGGGGGAUAACCACUGGAAACGGUGGCUAAUACCGCAUAACGUCGCAAGACCAAAGAGGGGGACCUUCGGGCCUCUCACUAUCGGAUGAACCCAGAUGGGAUUAGCUAGUAGGCGGGGUAACGGCCCACCUAGGCGACGAUCCCUAGCUGGUCUGAGAGGAUGACCAGCCACACUGGAACUGAGACACGGUCCAGACUCCUACGGGAGGCAGCAGUGGGGAAUAUUGCACAAUGGGCGCAAGCCUGAUGCAGCCAUGCCGCGUGUAUGAAGAAGGCCUUCGGGUUGUAAAGUACUUUCAGCGGGGAGGAAGGCGAUGUGGUUAAUAACCGCGUCGAUUGACGUUACCCGCAGAAGAAGCACCGGCUAACUCCGUGCCAGCCGCCGCCGUAA